CUGUGGGGUUGGGAAAUACUUCACAGAAGUUAAAUUUUGGGCUGGGCUUGAACUAGAGGGCUUUUAUCAGAUGAAAAGAGAAAGUAUUUCAGGCAGAAGGGCUGGCAGAGAAAGGCAGAGAAGUGAGAAAGAGUCUGAUACGUUUGGGGAACAGAGAGCAGUGUAGAUUGCUGGAGCAUAGGUAUAGGUGUAGGGCAUUAAAACUAUCAAGUGAUAUUGAUGUUACGAGUAUAUAAUGGUAGGAAUCUUCAGAUAACAGUCGUAUGGUUAGGAAAGAUGGUAUGGAUCAUCCAUUAACUGGAUUUCAGAUUAUCCAUCAAUCAUCUCUGCCCUUGGAAAUAAACUAAUAGUGGGAGGUGUCUGUCAGACAGGAAAAAGGAAUCUAGUAGUCUUUCUAAGAGUGGGUGUGAUCUUUGAAACCAGAAGAGAUAAUGCUGUGCUUCCGGCUUUUAGAAAAAGCAGAUGUAAAGUACACAAGCUCAAGGAGGAUGUAAGGGCUUUCACCAUUCCUGGCACUUGGCUACUGAUGUUCCCUGAAAUAUUAGGUAGAAGAUUGCACAUAUUAUCUAAACCAGUGUUCUAAAAGAGACAUAAGUUGGAAGAUCAUCAACAAGUGAAAUCCUCUGGUAGCAGUGUUCUCCAUUCCUCACUUCCAUAAAAGCACCUUUAAUGGACAGCACACAGCUCUGGGCUUUGGAACAAUCAACCUGGCUCUAGUUCUGUCUGAAGAUCACAGUGGAAACUAAGGUUUGCCAUAUUUUUAUCACCAAUAAAGUGGGGCUAAUAUUGACUACCUAAUCACAUUUGCUAAGUGAUUGCAUCCGUACUGUGCUGUUGUGUUGGUAUUCAUGGUGAGCUGAUAAUUUUGUUCACAAAAAUCAAAGAAUUCAAGAAGUACUCCAGUGAGCCGAUUAUUUUUCCUCAAAAGACAAUUUCUAUCAGAUUCCUUCGAAAAUUAAAAAAAGUACCAUGACAAUUUCUAGCAGAUUCCUUUGAAACUUAAAAAAAGUAUUAUGGAACAAUUGUGAGAAAAUUUAAUGCUUUAGUUCUACUCCACUGAAAACUUAAAUGAAAAACAUUUUCUAUAAGACAGAUGAAAACAAAUGUUGUUGUUGUUAGAUACUGUCAAGUCAGUUCUGACUCACAGCAACCUUAUGUACAACAGAACGAAAAACUGCCCG